rnacentral:rRNA from 1 species
GACAGAGGGUGCAAACGUUGUUCGGAAUUACUGGGCGUAAAGCGCGUGUAGGCUGCUUCGCAAGUCGGAUGUGAAAGCCCUGGGCUCAACCCAGGAAGUGCAUUCGAAACUGCAGAGCUGGAGUCCUGGAGAGGAAGGCGGAAUUCUCGGUGUAGAGGUGAAAUUCGUAGAUAUUGGGAAGAACACCGAUGGCGAAGGCAGCCAUCUGGACCGACACUGACGCUGAGGCGCUAAAGCGUGGGGAGCGAACAGG